rnacentral:rRNA from 1 species
GGGAACGGCGGGCGGGUAGACGGGGGAAGACGGAGGGGGAAAGGGGGGUGCGGGUUGAAUGGCGGCAAAGCGAGGGAAGGCGGGUGAAUAGUGCAGAUGGGAAAUCGAGGGGCGCAACCCCGAAAAGGCGGCUGGAACUGGGAAUCUAGAGUGAGGGAGGGGAGAGCGGAAGUUCGCAGGUAGGGGUAAAAUCCGUAGAGAUGCGAAGGAACACCAGAGCCGAAGGGGGCUCUCUGGCCAUCAACUGACGCUGAGGCGCGAAAGCGUGGGGAGCAAACAGGAUUAGAUACCCCAGUAGUC